CAUUGCUUCCAGAAUAAGAUUGAGAGGUACGACCUGCCCGGUGACUUUAGGGUUAAACGGCUGCAGUACUCUGACUGUGCAAAGGUAGCAUAAUCAUUUGCCUAGUAAUUUUAGGCUAGAAUCAACGGUUAGACGAAGGAUGAGCUGUCUCCUUUUAAUUUAGCUGAAGUUAGCUUUGGAGUGAAGAGACUUUAAUAAGUGAGUGGGACGAGAAGACCCUAUUGAGCUUUAACUUAGUUAAAAAUAAAGUUUUAAUAAAGUUUGGAUUGGGGCAAUUCUUUUUAUAAUAAAACAAAAGUUAAGUAUAAUGAAUUUAUACUAUAAGACCCUGAAUUUAUCGGAAACAAGAAAAAGUUACCAUAGGGAUAACAGCGUUAUUUUUCUUGAGAGUACAUAUUGACAGAAAAGUUUGCGACCUCGAUGUUGGAUUAAGAUAACCUGGAUGUGCAGCAGCCUCCAAUGGUUGGUUUGUUCAACCAUUAAAAUCUUACGUGAU
rnacentral:rRNA from 1 species